rnacentral:rRNA from 1 species
CGGGGUGCCCAGGCGCGAAAACUUUACAAUGCUGGCAACAGCGAUAAGGGGACCUCGAGUGCCAGGAUACAAUCUUGGCUGUCGCGAUGCCUAAAAAGCAUUGCAUAGCAAGGGCCGGGCAAGACCGGUGCCAGCCGCCGCGGUAACACCGGCGGCUCGAGUGGUAACCGCUAUUAUUGGGUCUAAAGGGUCUGUAGCCGGCCGGAUAAGUCUUUUGGGAAAUCCAGCUGCUCAACAGUUGGGCUUUCAGAAGAUACUGUUCGGCUCGAGGCCGGGAGAGGUGAGAGGUACUUCAGGGGUAGGGGUGAAAUCUUGUAAUCCUUGAAGGACCACCAGUGGCGAAGGCGUCUCACCAGAACGGACCUGACGGCAAGGGACGAAAGCUAGGGGCACGAACCGGAUUAGAUACCCGGGUAGUCCUAGCCGUAAACGAUACUCGCUAGGUGUCAGCCACGGUGCGACCGUGGUUGGUGCCGUAGGGAAGCCGUGAAGCGAGCCACCUGGGAAGUACGGCCGCAAGGCUGAAACUUAAAGGAAUUGGCGGGGGAGC